ensembl:lncRNA
GUGACUGGCUGCCACGGCUGUCUGUGAGCGAGCUCAGCGGUUGGUGAUGCAGGGAGAGCAGAUUAUGAAGCGGAUCUCACCAGCGGCAGUCUACUCUCAUUGUCUCAAUGGCUGCGCACGCGUUCCUUCUGCUCUCUUCUGCCUUGCUGUCUGCCUUCAGCCAGCCCACCCUGUCCUUCGAUCAAGUGCCUACUCUCCUGGACAGAAGCACAGAAGAGGACUACAUUACAGAUGUCCCCUACCCAGCUGUGAGAAUCAGAGCAGGUGGUCUUGAUGGAAUGAGCUUGGAGACUGAGGGUUAUGUCCCCACUAAAGAAAGCCCACUCAAAAGAUUCCUGAAGCCGCAUGGCUGGCACCACCUCAACCAGCAUGGCCAUGGAAAAGGCAAGAGAAAGCUGCUCCAGUCUCCCAUCCUCGGGCCCUACUCCCCUCUAAGCGUGGCCUACAAUGGUAAGACCUGCAUCCUGUUCAAAGCCAAGCGCUUGGCAGUCCGCUACAAGAAUCAUACCUUUAUAGACUUGACGGAGAAGACCUUUGGACCCAAUGCCCCUGUGGACACGAAGGGAUCCAUCUGCACCAAGGAGAAGGCUACGUAAGUAGACUACUGAAGAUAAUGUACUUCAUUUGUAUAUUGUGCGCAAGUUAAUUUGACAUUCCUUGUUUUGUUAAAUCACAACUUUCUGGGUAGAAUGCCAUAGAAUACCUUUAAUUACCAGCAUCGAGAUAUCAAUUAUUCAUAGAACAAGAGUCAUAGAACAAGCAUACACAAUGUCGUGAAUGCACAAGAUUCUAAGGCAAAAAUAUAAUAUAUCAAUAUCUUUCCUUUCCAC